rnacentral:rRNA from 1 species
AUGUCAGCGCUUGAGAUUCCUUAGUUUGUUAUGGCUAUAUAUUGCUAUCCAAAUGUCUCUGUUGCCUAUCGGAUCCUCUUAACAGUGCAUGUGUCUGUAGCCUCAGCUGAAAGAAGUUUCUCUAAACUAAAACUACUAAAAAAUUAGUUGCAAGAUAGAUUGAAUGGUCUGGCUAUGUGUCGCAUUGAGAAGGGUAUCUUGGACAAUGUUGAUCUUGAUUGUGCCCUUAAUGACUUUGCAUCAAGAAAUGCCCAAAGAAACUUUUUUUGA